AUGAACGCUGGCGGCGUGCCUAAUACAUGCAAGUCGAGCGAACAGACGAGGAGCUUGCUCCUCUGACGUUAGCGGCGGACGGGUGAGUAACACGUGGAUAACCUACCUAUAAGACUGGGAUAACUUCGGGAAACCGGAGCUAAUACCGGAUAAUAUAUUGAACCGCAUGGUUUAAUAGUGUAAGACGGUUUUGCUGUCACUUAUAGAUGGAUCCGCGCCGCAUUAGCUAGUUGGUAAGGUAACGGCUUACCAAGGCAACGAUGCGUAGCCGACCUGAGAGGGUGAUCGGCCACACUGGAACAGAGACACGGUCCAGACUCCUACGGGAGGCAGCAGUAGGGAAUCUUCCGCAAUGGGCGAAAGCUUGACGGAGCAACGCCGCGUGAGUGAUGAAGGUCUUCGGAUCGUAAAACUCUGUUAUUAGGGAAGAACAAAUGUGUAAGUAACUAUGCACGUCUUGACGGUACCUAAUCAGAAAGCCACGGCUAACUACGUG
rnacentral:rRNA from 1 species